UCGUGGGCCUUCGGGUCCGUGGUGGUGGUGGGGGCUGCGACCCGAUCCGGUAGUAGGUAAGCGUGUUAACAGGGGUGACGCAGUAUGGUAGCUUCCGCGUGUUUUAUGGCUAUGCACGUCCAAGGACGCAGGGUGGGGGGACAGGGUAAAUCCGUUUCCCGUUGAGCCCGAGGUCUGAUGGUGACCCCGUUUGGGGGAAGUAGAGUGAUCCUAGGCUGCCGAGAAAAGCCUCGACGUUAGGUGUGAGCCGCCCGUACCCUAAACCGACUCAGGUGGUCAGGUAGAGAAUACUAAGGCGAUCGAGAGAAUCAUGGUUAAGGAACUCGGCAAAAUGCCCCGUAACUUCGGGAGAAGGGGGGCCCGGAUCCUGAAGCCCUUGACGGGCUGGGGUGAUGGGCCGCAGAGACCAGGGAGAAGCGACUGUUUACUAAAAACACAGGUCCGUGCGAAGAAGUAAUUCGAUGUAUACGGACUGACGCCUGCCCGGUGCUGGAAGGUUAAGAGGACCGGUCAACCCCUUUCGGGGGGUGAAGCUGAGAAUUUAAGCCCCAGUAAACGGCGGUGGUAACUAUAACCAUCAA
rnacentral:rRNA from 1 species